CUGUCCAACUUGAGUACGAGAGAGGAAAGUGGAAUUCCCAAUGUAGAGGUGAAAUUCGUAGAUAUUGGGAGGAACACCCGUGGCGAAGGCGACUUUCUGGAUCGAUACUGACGCUGAGACGCGAAAGCGUGGGAAGCAAACAGGAUUAGAUACCCUGGUAGUCCACGCUGUAAACGAUGGGAACUAGGUGUAGCGGGUAUUGAUCCCUGCUGUGCCGAAGCUAACGCAUUAAGUUCCCCGCCUGGGGAGUACGGUCGCAAGGCUAAAACUCAAAGGAAUUGACGGGGGCCCGCACAAGCGGUGGAGCAUCUGGUCUAAUUCGAUAUUAAGCGAGGAACCUUACCAGGGCUUGACAUCCUCCGAAUCCAUCCGAAAGGAAGGAGUGCCGUAAGGAACGGAGUGACAGGUGCUGCAUGGUUGUCGUCAGCUCGUGCCUUGAGGUGUUCGGUUAAGUCCGUAAACGAGCGCAACCCUUGUCCUUAGUUGUAUUUCUCUAAGGAGACUGCCCUGCAUAACGGGGAGGAAGGUAGGGAUGACGUCAAAUCAGCAUGGCCCUUAUGUCCUGGGCGACACAGGUGCUACAAUGGCCGGUACAACGAGUCGCUAACCCGCGAGGGGGAGCCAAUCUCUUAAAACCGGUCUAAGUUCGAAUUGGAGGCUGCAACUCGCCUCCAUGAAGUUGGAAUCGCUAGUAAACG
rnacentral:rRNA from 1 species